UGGGGAAUAUUGGGCAAUGGGCGAAAGCCUGACCCAGCGACGCCGCGUGGGUGAUGAAGGCCUUCGGGUUGUAAAACCCUUUCGUGCGGAAAGAAUAGUCCUGUAGCGAAUAACUACGGGAUUUGACGGUACCGCAGGAAGAAGCACCGGCUAACUCCGUGCCAGCAGCCGCGGUAAUACGGAGGGUGCAAGCGUUGUUCGGAAUUAUUGGGCGUAAAGGGCGCGUAGGUGGUUGUGAUAGUCAGAUGUGAAAUCCUUCGGCUCAACCGAAGAACUGCAUCUGAAACUUCAUAGCUCGAGUACAGGAGAGGGAAACGGAAUUCCCGGUGUAGAGGUGAAAUUCGUAGAUAUCGGGAGGAACACCAGUGGCGAAGGCGGUUUCCUGGCCUGAUACUAACGCUG
rnacentral:rRNA from 1 species